rnacentral:rRNA from 1 species
UACAGAGGUCUCAAGCGUUGUUCGGAUUCAUUGGGCGUAAAGGGUGCGUAGGUGGCGCGGUAAGUCGGGUGUGAAAGCCCCGGGCUCAACCUGGGAAUUGCAUUCGAGACUGCGUAGCUAGGGUGCGGAAGAGGGAAGCGGAAUUUCCGGUGUAGCGGUGAAAUGCGUAGAUAUCGGAAGGAACACCAGUGGCGAAAGCGGCUUCCUGGUCCAGCACCGACGUUCAGGCACGAAAGCGUGGGGAGCAAACAGG